AGGAUCCACAGUUACUUUCUUUAGACCAGACAGUAGAACGAGGAGAGAGGACCGAGUGAUCUGCUGGAACUCUUUCUUUGCGUUCAAAGCAGCACAGAUCUUGGCUUAGUGUCCUAUAUCUAUCCUGAGUGUUACCCCAAAAUGGUUCUAUCUAACAUAUAUGAAUUAAUAAUAGCAGUAAUAUUUAAUGCAAAAAUUGAAACGUUUAAAUCUUUAUUUAAAUGUAAUUAUCUUAACAGAAAAGCCAAUGAAGGUUACCACACUAAUGAGAGCAUCACUCAGUUGACUCUACUCUGGUCAAGCUGGGUGUAGGAAGCAGCACAAUGUCUAGGGGACACUACCAGGGACUUAAGAUUGUAUUUUUCCAGUUUAAUCCUAAUUGUGUUUUGUCUGACCUGCUUGCUGCAUGACAUUGUAACAAGGAUUGCCAGAAGUGACUCUAAAUUUGUGUGAUAAUUUUCAAUCCAAACAAUAGAAUAAUUGUCAGUCUGGAACGCUAAACUUUUCUGUUAGACUGUGAGGUUUAUUAUCAGGGAAAUUACAAACAGUAGAAUAAGAGAGUCUUCAUUCACCCUGGAGACCAGAACAGAAGGGGCUUUUCUUUUUACAGGAUAUCAUUAUUUUCAACAAAACAUAGUUUUUUAUGUAGAUUUCUUAUUGAAAAAUUAUGAAUGAAAAUUGGAUAUUAAAAAUAGUAUUGGCACACUUAGUUUUACCGUUACAACCGGACAAAGAGAGUUGCACCUCAUCAUUUUUCCUUGAUUUCUUGAGCUGGGCAACACGUUGGGGCUGUCGGUCACGUUUACCACAAGCUACACAUUCCCGACUUCUAAACAGCAGCUGCGUGUGUGAUUUUUGACUGCUUGAUUUUCACUUCAGGCAGUCGAAAGCUCUGUGCUUAUAGACAAUUGGAGCU